AAAACACGAGCACGAUCCUGCCUCCCUCGAUCCCAUCUCCACCUCCCUAGCGCCGCCACCUCCUGCAACGCGACACCCGGCAUCACCGUGCGCCGCCGGCCACCGCGCGCCACCGCCGCCCAUCCAGCCGGCGCGCCUACCCCUACCCCACGUGCCCCCACACCCAUAGCCUUCCACCGUCAGUUACAAUCGACGCCGCGCACGACCCUGCCUCACCACGCGCCGCCGGCCCGCCCCCGUGGGUGCACGCCGUCGGACCCCCGCGCCCCGUCGCCACGCGCUACCGGAGUGCCUACCGUCGCCGGCUCUCCCCGCCUCGGGGUCUCAUCUCUCCCUGAGAUCCUCUCCAACCGGGCCCAUCCGCCACCCCCAGCCUCCUCAAUAUGCAACCUCCUGCUCCCCAGCGGGCGCGAGGAUCUCGGAUCGCCGUCGCCCUUCGGGAGCUCCCUCUCCUCCCUGCCUUCUUUCCAUGGCGUGAGGCCGUGAGGGACCAAGUGGCCUACGUCAUCACGAUGGAGCUAUUGUGCUGUUGCGUGUCCUCGGGUCUCCAGGGGCGUCCUCGGUCCCAGCCACCCAUCAUCCAGAUUCAGCGUCCUCUCUCCUUUUUCUGUUUAAUGUGAGUAAGCCUCCACUACCCGCUCCCAACUAUGCAAAAUUUGCAGCUGUGGUUGACAUGGGUGACGCCUUGAUGCAAAGGUACAGGCUUACAUACGUGUUGCUGGCCGCUGCCCUAUUACCCCCACCACCAGCAGGGUCGCCCAUGACCAGGGCCCCCAAGCUACGGAGUGACAUGCUGCUGCUGCCCACCACCAUCUGUGAGACAUCGAAAUCUAGGAAGAUAAAUUGUCACCUAAUUUAAAUAAGGCUGCGAGUUGAAAUCAAUAAGCAGCUUGGGAUCAAUCGCAAGGGUGAGGAGUGGGUCCGUUAAUCCCUAUGGGAACAAAAAUAUCACCCAACCGAGGAGGAAGAAGGUGAGGUGCUGAGGAGGAGAAUGGAUGGAGUAAGAAGACCCAACCGAUGAGGAAGAAGAUGCCGCUGGGUGUGAAGCAGCAGGACGAGGAAGAUGGAGGAGCGGCGCUGGGAGGAAGAAAGAACAACUGAGGAGAGGCGGCACAUUACAAAAUAUCUCUCCCGCGACAGCAGUACAAAAUUACUUUUUGCAUUACCAAACUGUACUAUGUGGCAAACUGUCCUCGGUUUCUUUUUAUAUAUGGUUUUCUUGAGAACCAUGCA